GCGGUAGGCCCCUUUCGGGGGGUACACGAGCGGCGAACGGGUGAGUAACACGUGAGCAACCUGCCCUUCUCUUUGGGAUAACCAGUGGAAACGCUGGCUAAUACCGAAUAUGACCGCCUUGGGCAUCCGGGGUGGUGGAAAGUUCCGGCGGAGAAGGAUGGGCUCGCGGCCUAUCAGCUUGUUGGUGAGGUAAUGGCUCACCAAGGCGACGACGGGUAGCCGGCCUGAGAGGGUGACCGGCCACACUGGGACUGAGACACGGCCCAGACUCCUACGGGAGGCAGCAGUGGGGAAUAUUGGACAAUGGGCGAAAGCCUGAUCCAGCAACGCCGCGUGAGGGAUGACGGCCUUCGGGUUGUAAACCUCUUUCAGCACCGACGAAGCGAAAGUGACGGUAGGUGCAGAAGAAGGACCGGCCAACUACGUGCCAGCAGCCGCGGUAAUACGUAGGGUCCGAGCGUUGUCCGGAAUUAUUGGGCGUAAAGGGCUCGUAGGCGGUCUGUCGCGUCGGGAGUGAAAACUCGGGGCUUAACCCCGAGCGUGCUUCCGAUACGGGCA
rnacentral:rRNA from 1 species